rnacentral:tRNA from 1 species
GGGGUUUUGGUGAAGUGGUAAUCACGUCUGCUUUACACGCAGAAGGUCACCGGUUCGAUCCCGGCCAGGUCCU